rnacentral:lncRNA from 1 species
CCGGCAGGAGCAGAUUCCAAAGGCACAGGAAGAAGCUUGCAGUACAAAGAUAAAAAUCUAAAGUGGUUGCUGUGGAGGACAGGGGUCAGUGGUGGAAGUGAGACUGAAAUGGACUCUGAAGUAAUAUCUGGACUUUGAAAUUGUUGCCUGUUCACUCUGGCUAGUCAUAUGCAGAAAACUGAAACUAGACCCCUUCCUGACACCUUAUAUAAAAAUUAACUCAAGAUGGAUUAAAGAUUUAAACGUAAGACCCAAAACCAGAAAAAUCCUAGAAGAAAACCUAGGCAAUACCAUUCAGGACAUAAGCAUGGGCAAAGACUUCAUGACUAAAACACCAAAAGCAAUGGCAGCAAAAGCCAAAAUUGACAAAAGGUUUCCUUAACGACAACAAAAAAGGGAGUAAUCCUACCUACUGUAAGAGUCAUGACUCUUGAUUGCAGCUGACAGAAGCUCAUGACAGCCUGGUUUAGAUAAAAGGGGAAAGGACGACUGGAAGAAUCUUGGAGUUGGGAAUAUGGCACGCAGCUGCUCCCAACCCCAGCAACUUUGCUAUCUUAGAACGGAUCACCAGUGAAAGAGGGGAAGUUGCUACUGUGAUGAAUUCUGCCAUGUGGUACCAGACUGCUGCCCAGACCACAGUGUCCUCUGCAACCCUGGUAACUCACAUACAGGCCUGAUUCCACCUACAGCAAAGCUGGAUGCUAUGGUUGGCAGAGGCAAGCCCCUUGCCUGCACUUCAGGCCAAAGCCGGGAUGUGGCCUAGAUGGUUCCUAAGGUCCCUGACAGUCCUGAGAUCUUUCAUCUUGUCUAUUUCAGGUCAAAGCUUCUCAGAUGACCAAGAUGGUGCUGCCGAUGGUGUUGAGGACGGAGAACCCACCAAGCC